GGGGAUAUGGCUGAAUUGGUAGAGCACCUGUCUACCAAGUACGCGGCUCUGAAUUUAAACUCCAGUAUUACUA
rnacentral:tRNA from 1 species